UACGUAGGUGGCAAGCGUUGUCCGGAUUUACUGGGUGUAAAGGGCGUGCAGCCGGAGAGACAAGUCAGAUGUGAAAUCCGCGGGCUCAACCCGCGAACUGCAUUUGAAACUGUUUCCCUUGAGUAUCGGAGAGGUCAUCGGAAUUCCUAGUGUAGCGGUGAAAUGCGUAGAUAUUAGGAAGAACACCAGUGGCGAAGGCGGAUGACUGGACGACAACUGACGGUGAGGCGCGAAAGCGUGGGGAGCAAACAGG
rnacentral:rRNA from 1 species